rnacentral:misc_RNA from 1 species
GAUGAAGAACGUAGCGAAAUGCGAUACGUAAUGUGAAUUGCAGAAUUCAGUGAAUCAUCGAAUCUUUGAACGCAUAUUGCGCUCUCUGGUAUUCCGGAGAGCAUGCUUGUUUGAGUAUCAGUAAACACCUCAACUUCCAUAUCUUUUUUGAAAUGGGAGUUGGACUUGAGUGAUCCCAACGCUUUUCCUCACCGAAAAGUGGCGGGUUACUUGAAAUGCAGGUGCAGCUGGACUUUUCUCUGAGCUAUAAGCAUAUCUAUUUAGUCUGCCUAAAAAACAGAUUAUUACCUUUGCUGCAGCUAACAUAAAGGAGAUUAGUUCUUGUGCUGACUGAUGCAGGAUUCAUAAAGACAGGCUUCGGCCGACUUUGUAAACUCGAUCUCAAAUCAAGUAAGACUACCCGCUGAACUUAAGCAUAUCAAUAAGCGGAGGA